AUCCAACUGACGAGUCCCGAAUAGGACGAAAUGCGCGUUAUCCUGGAU
rnacentral:hammerhead_ribozyme from 1 species